UUAAGCGACUAAGCGUACACGGUGGAUGCCCUGGCAGUCAGAGGCGAUGAAGGACGUGCUAAUCUGCGAAAAGCGUCGGUAAGGUGAUAUGAACCGUUAUAACCGGCGAUGUCCGAAUGGGGAAACCCAGUGNNNNNNNNNNNNNNNNNNNNNUGUGAACUCGAAGAGUAGGGCGGGACACGUGGUAUCCUGUCUGAAUAUGGGGGGACCAUCCUCCAAGGCUAAAUACUCCUGACUGACCGAUAGUGAACCAGUACCGUGAGGGAAAGGCGAAAAGAACCCCGGCGAGGGGAGUGAAAAAGAACCUGAAACCGUGUACGUACAAGCAGUGGGAGCACCUUCGGGUGUGACUGCGUACCUUUUGUAUAAUGGGUCAGCGACUUAUAUUCUGUAGCAAGGUUAACCGUAUAGGGGAGCCGCAGGGAAACCGAGUCUUAACUGGGCGUUAAGUUGCAGGGUAUAGACCCGAAACCCGGUGAUCUAGCCAUGGGCAGGUUGAAGGUUGGGUAACACUAACUGGAGGACCGAACCGACUAAUGUUGAAAAAUUAGCGGAUGACUUGUGGCUGGGGGUGAAAGGCCAAUCAAACCGGGAGAUAGCUGGUUCUCCCCGAAAGCUAUUUAGGUAGCGCCUCGUGAACUCAUCUUCGGGGGUAGAGCACUGUUUCGGCUAGGGGGUCAUCCCGACUUACCAACCCGAUGCAAACUACGAAUACCGAAGAAUGUUAUCACGGGAGACACACGGCGGGUGCUAACGUCCGUCGUGAAGAGGGAAACAACCCAGACCGCCAGCUAAGGUCCCAAAGUCAUGGUUAAGUGGGAAACGAUGUGGGAAGGCACAGACAGCCAGGAUGUUGGCUUAGAAGCAGCCAUCAUUUAAAGAAAGCGUAAUAGCUCACUGGUCGAGUCGGCCUGCGCGGAAGAUGUAACGGGGCUAAACCAUGCACCGAAGCUGCGGCAGCGACACUAUGUGUUGUUGGGUAGGGGAGCGUUCUGUAAGCCUGCGAAGGUGUGCUGUGAGGCAUGCUGGAGGUAUCAGAAGUGCGAAUGCUGACAUAAGUAACGAUAAAGCGGGUGAAAAGCCCGCUCGCCGGAAGACCAAGGGUUCCUGUCCAACGUUAAUCGGGGCAGGGUGAGUCGACCCCUAAGGCGAGGCCGAAAGGCGUAGUCGAUGGGAAACAGGUUAAUAUUCCUGUACUUGGUGUUACUGCGAAGGGGGGACGGAGAAGGCUAUGUUAGCCGGGCGACGGUUGUCCCGGUUUAAGCAUGUAGGCUGGUUAUCCAGGCAAAUCCGGAUAAUCAAGGCUGAGGUGUGAUGACGAGGCACUACGGUGCUGAAGUAACAAAUGCCCUGCUUCCAGGAAAAGCCUCUAAGCAUCAGGUAACAUCAAAUCGUACCCCAAACCGACACAGGUGGUCAGGUAGAGAAUACCAAGGCGCUUGAGAGAACUCGGGUGAAGGAACUAGGCAAAAUGGUGCCGUAACUUCGGGAGAAGGCACGCUGGUGUGUAGGUGAAGUCCCUGCGGAUGGAGCUGAGACCAGUCGAAGAUACCAGCUGGCUGCAACUGUUUAUUAAAAACACAGCACUGUGCAAACACGAAAGUGGACGUAUACGGUGUGACGCCUGCCCGGUGCCGGAAGGUUAAUUGAUGGGGUUAUCCGUAAGGAGAAGCUCUUGAUCGAAGCCCCGGUAAACGGCGGCCGUAACUAUAACGGUCCUAAGGUAGCGAAAUUCCUUGUCGGGUAAGUUCCGACCUGCACGAAUGGCGUAAUGAUGGCCAGGCUGUCUCCACCCGAGACUCAGUGAAAUUGAACUCGCUGUGAAGAUGCAGUGUACCCGCGGCAAGACGGAAAGACCCCGUGAACCUUUACUAUAGCUUGACACUGAACAUUGAGCCUUGAUGUGUAGGAUAGGUGGGAGGCUUUGAAGCGUGGACGCCAGUCUGCGUGGAGCCAACCUUGAAAUACCACCCUUUAAUGUUUGAUGUUCUAACGUUGGCCCCUGACCGGGGUUGCGGACAGUGUCUGGUGGGUAGUUUGACUGGGGCGGUCUCCUCCCAAAGCGUAACGGAGGAGCACGAAGGUUAGCUAAUCCUGGUCGGACAUCAGGAGGUUAGUGCAAUGGCAUAAGCUAGCUUGACUGCGAGCGUGACGGCGCGAGCAGGUGCGAAAGCAGGUCAUAGUGAUCCGGUGGUUCUGAAUGGAAGGGCCAUCGCUCAACGGAUAAAAGGUACUCCGGGGAUAACAGGCUGAUACCGCCCAAGAGUUCAUAUCGACGGCGGUGUUUGGCACCUCGAUGUCGGCUCAUCACAUCCUGGGGCUGAAGUAGGUCCCAAGGGUAUGGCUGUUCGCCAUUUAAAGUGGUACGCGAGCUGGGUUUAGAACGUCGUGAGACAGUUCGGUCCCUAUCUGCCGUGGGCGCUGGAGAAUUGAGGGGGGCUGCUCCUAGUACGAGAGGACCGGAGUGGACGCAUCACUGGUGUUCGGGUUGUCAUGCCAAUGGCACUGCCCGGUAGCUAAAUGCGGAAGAGAUAAGUGCUGAAAGCAUCUAAGCACGAAACUUGCCCCGAGAUGAGUUCUCCCUGAGACUNGACGUUGAUAGGCCGGGUGUGUAAGCGCAGCGAUGCGUUGAGCUAACCGGUACUAAUGAACCGUGAGGCUUAACCUU
rnacentral:rRNA from 1 species